UGUCCAGUAGCACCUUAGAGACCAACUAAGUUUGUUCUGGGUAUAAGCUUUCGUGUGCAUGCAUACUUCUUCUGAUACACUUCUUAGUUGGUCUCUAAGGUGCUACUGGACA